UUUUCCCUUGUUAUCUGUUAGGCUCUGACUUGACCUGCAGGAGAGGGAGACCGUCUCUCCCAGGGUGACAGGCAGGGAGAGUGGAGUCUGAGUCAUUAUAAUAU